AUCUCGUGAUGAGGGCAUCUACGUAGUAAAUUCUUGAAUCUUUCUCACGCCUUGUAUAAGGAAUCGUCAUCCAAUUGUUGAAAAGUGGUGAUCUCAUUCCACAACUU
rfam:Gossypium raimondii Chr08_contig_606, whole genome shotgun sequence.